rnacentral:rRNA from 1 species
AGAGUUUGAUCCUGGCUCAGGAUGAACGCUAGCUACAGGCUUAACACAUGCAAGUCGAGGGGAAACGAUAUUGGAAGCUUGCUUCCGAUAGGCGUCGACCGGCGCACGGGUGAGUAACGCGUAUCCAACCUGCCCACCACUUGGGGAUAACCUUGCGAAAGUAAGACUAAUACCCAAUGAUAUCUCUAGAAGACAUCUGAAAAGAGAUUAAAGAUUUAUCGGUGAUGGAUGGGGACGCGUCUGAUUAGCUUGUUGGCGGGGUAACGGCCACCAAGGCGACGAUCGAGUAGGGGUUCUGAGAGGAAGGUCCCCCACGAUUGGAACUGAGACACGGUCCAAACGUCCUACGGGAGGCA